UUCCUCAAUUGUCAAACAAGGAUGACAGUAGGAUUGUGGGGAAUUAAUAAGUAUAUUUACUCGACUUUGAAAUAGUAGGUGUGCAAUAGAUGUUACAUUGCCAUCAUCAUCAUCAUCAUCUUCAUCAUCCUACUAUCGCUACAGCUGCUGUUCCUGCCACCCAGGUCUCCCAGCAGCAGCUCGUCCCCUAGAACCACACCCAAACCAUCCUCCUAACCAAUGCUGUACACCCUUCGAUGCCUGGCCAUCUGCAAGCCAGGCAGAGGGCCUUCACCAGACACAGAUCUCUGCCUUCCCGUCUUUCAGAACUGCAAGAAAUGAAUGUCUGUUGUUUAAGCCACAUCCUGUUACAGCAGCUCACACUGGGCAAGAUAGUGCUAUCCAAAGAAAAGAUGGGGCAAAGCUCAAGUGAGUAAAUACUUACCCUGGAGUCAUCAACAUCAGACAAUUAAAAACCAAAACCUGAGGACAGCUAUUUUUGCCUUGGCUUUCAUUCUAACUACCAUACAAGCACGUGCUCAAUGAUUACGCAAGAAGUGCUUUGGCCUCAGAGACAUUUGGAGAGCACUGAGAACAAACAUCUGUAAUUUAGAACGUUUCCUUGGAACAGAUCAUUUGUGCGUUGGGGUCUUCAGAAGCACUAGAAUUUCCUUUACAGAAACCAGGGUGAAGGCAGGAACUGGAAAAAGGAGGUGGUUAAAAGAAGCUGGAGUUCUAAGAAGCCUGUGGAUCCUUUUCAAUAGAAGAAAAUAAGCAGUUUCAGACAAGUUCUAUCUUGAAAUUUCUGUACAGAUGCAAGUUCCCAGAAAGCAGCAAGUUAAUCCCAACAAGUGAUAGCUAUAGUCAAAGCAAGUCUUUUUCUCCUGGCAAGGGGGAGAGGGCGUAACUACACAAUUCCCAUCAUUUUUAAAGCCAUCCUUUAAAGCUUACCCCAAAAUUAAGCACACACCCAACUCACAUAAAUCAACUACAGAGCUCAUCAAAUGUUAGAACUGAGAAGUGCUUCCAAAAUUAUCCAGUCUAGGGACCUCAUUCUGCAGAUAAGGACUCAGACACCCAAAGACAGUGUGCC